UGGGGAAUUUUGCACAAUGGGGGGAACCUUGAUGCAGCGACGCCGCGUGAGGGAUGAAGGCCUUCGGUUUGUGAACCUCUUUCGCUCGUGUGCAGGCCGCUAUUGGGGUAGUGGUGGGUGUAGCGGGUAAGGAAGCGCCGGCUAACUAGGUGCCAGCAGCCGCGGUAAUACGUAGGGCGCGAGCGUUGUCCGGAUUUAUUGGGCGUAAAGGGCUUGUAGGCGGUUUGUCGGGCCUGUCGUGUAAUCCUCUGGCUUAACUGGGGGUGUGCGGUGGGUACGGGCAAGCUUGAGUGCGGUAGGGGAGAUUGGAAUUCCUGGUGUAGCGGUGGAAUGCGCAGAUAUCAGGAGGAACACCGGUGGCGAAGGCGGGUCUCUGGGCCGUUACUGACGCUGAGGAGCGAAAGCGUGGGGAGCGAACAGG
rnacentral:rRNA from 1 species